rnacentral:rRNA from 1 species
AUUGAACGCUGGCGGCAUGCCUUACACAUGCAAGUCGAACGGCAGCGGGGGCUUCGGCCUGCCGGCGAGUGGCGAACGGGUGAGUAAUGCACCGGAACGUGCCCAAGUCGUGGGGGAUAACGUAGCGAAAGCUACGCUAAUACCGCAUACGCCCUGAGGGGGAAAGCGGGGGAUUCUUCGGAACCUCGCGCGAUUGGAGCGGCCGAUGUCGGAUUAGCUAGUAGGUGAGGUAAAGGCUCACCUAGGCGACGAUCCGUAGCGGGUCUGAGAGGAUGAUCCGCCACACUGGGACUGAGACACGGCCCAGACUCCUACGGGAGGCAGCAGUGGGGAAUUUUGGACAAUGGGCGCAAGCCUGAUCCAGCCAUGCCGCGUGAGUGAAGAAGGCCUUCGGGUUGUAAAGCUCUUUCGGCCGGGAAGAAAUCGUGUUCUCUAACAUAGGACAUGGAUGACGGUACCGGACUAAGAAGCACCGGCUAACUACGUGCCAGCCGCCGCGGUAAAAC